CUUUCCCUCUGUCGGCAUGCUUUACACAUGCAAGUCGAACGGUAACAGGCCGCAAGGUGCUGACGAGUGGCGAACGGGUGAGUAAUGCAUCGGAACGUGCCCAGUCGUGGGGGAUAACUACUCGAAAGAGUAGCUAAUACCGCAUACGAUCUAUGGAUGAAAGCGGGGGACCGUGAGGCCUCGCGCGAUUGGAGCGGCCGAUGUCAGAUUAGGUAGUUGGUGGGGUAAAGGCUCACCAAGCCAACGAUCUGUAGCUGGUCUGAGAGGACGACCAGCCACACUGGGACUGAGACACGGCCCAGACUCCUACGGGAGGCAGCAGUGGGGAAUUUUGGACAAUGGGCGCAAGCCUGAUCCAGCAAUGCCGUGUGCAGGAAGAAGGCCUUCGGGUUGUAAACUGCUUUUGUACGGAACGAAACGGCUCUGGUUAAUACCCGGGGCUAAUGACGGUACCGUAAGAAUAAGCACCGGCUAACUACGUG
rnacentral:rRNA from 1 species